UACGGGGGGGGCAAGCGUUGUUCGGAAUUACUGGGCGUAAAGGGCUCGUAGGCGGCCAACUAAGUCGGAUGUGAAAUCCCCAAGCUUAACUUGGGAACUGCAUCCGAUACUGGAUGGCUUGAAUCCGGGAGAGGGAUGCAGAAUUCCAGGUGUAGCGGUGAAAUGCGUAGAUAUCUGGAGGAACACCGGUGGCGAAGGCGGCAUCCUGGACCGGGAUUGACACUGAGGCGCGAAAGCGUGGGGAGCGAUCCGG
rnacentral:rRNA from 1 species